rnacentral:rRNA from 1 species
GACGAACGUUGGCGGCGUGCUUAAUACAUGCAAGUCAACUGAAGCAGAGGUAGUAAUAUCUCUGUGGAGGUGGCGCACGGGUGAGUAACACGUAGGUAAUCUGCCUUCAGGUCUGACAUAACCCCGAGAAAUCGGGGCUAAUAGCAGAUGAUGCAGCGGCUUGACAUCAAGACAGUUGUUAAAGCUUCGGCGCCUGAAGAUGAGCCUGCGCUGAUUAGCUAGUUGGCGGAGUAACAGCCCACCAAGGCUACGAUCAGUAGCUGGUCUGAGAGGAUGAUCAGCCACACUGGAACUGAGACACGGUCCAGACUCCUACGGGAGGCAGCAGUAAGGAAUAUUGCUCAAUGGGAGAAAUCCUGAAGCAGCAACGCCGCGUGAGGGAUGAA